rnacentral:rRNA from 1 species
GACGGAGGAUGCAAGUGUUAUCCGGAAUCACUGGGCGUAAAGCGUCUGUAGGUGGUCAAAUAAGUCAACUGUUAAAUCUUGAGGCUCAACCUCAAAAUCGCAGUCGAAACUAUUAGACUAGAGUAUAGUAGGGGUAAAGGGAAUUUCCAGUGGAGCGGUGAAAUGCGUAGAGAUUGGAAAGAACACCGAUGGCGAAGGCAGGUCUCUGGGCCACUACUGACGCUGAGAAGCGAAAGCAUGGGGAGCAAACAGG